UUUGUAGAUUAAAUAGAAUCGUGGGAGAAAAAUGCGUAUACUAACUUUGGGCCACAGCAACGAUAAGUUCGACACUGCGCUCCAACGCGGAUGCUGCAUAGAGAAAGCGAGUGAGAGAGAGUAAGGUCGAACGUAAGUGAAAUCAGAUGCAUCAUACAGGAGUGAAAGAGAUCAAGUCAGCUUAAAUUACUAGCACGCGCACGCUUGCACGUUUGUCGUUUUCGCGCUCCAUCGAACGCGACGUGAUGCGAUGCAACAGGUGGUACGACAGGUGGUACUAUGCACAUAAUUCUGCUCUAGCAAGACCAACCGGUAGAUAGAAAACAGAUUUCUCUGGUCCUUGAAUAAUAUAAAAUAAUUUAUAUUUUUGAUUAUGAGAAACAAGAUUUUUCUGUUGCAAUGCUAUGAUUAGUGUAAUAAUUAUGAUACAAGCAUCAUCGUCUGACGCAAAUUCGCCCUUCGACCUGUAGUUCUUAAGCAAUAUGCGUAUAAAAGAAAGAGAGAAAAAGAAAAGUAUAGCUGCAAAGAACUGCGACAUGGCGCUGACCAAUCAGCGUAGAGACUAGUAUAAGAUGCAUUUGGGAACACCGGUGCAGGUUACAACUUGAUUGAAAACAAAACAUCAUCAACGGUCUGGCGGGAACGAGUAGGAACUAUGGAAAGUUUCACGUGGAUGUAACCGAAAUUGUUGAACACAUAUAUUAGUUGUUUGAUGAAGCCUUUUCUCAUCUAACGGCAUUCGUCAUGCUUGGAUAAAACAGUAUGAAAUCUGAAAGCAACCUCAAGCAAGACGACAAAUAAUAUCAACAGAAUUUGAACGCCUGUGUUCCACGUUUUUUGUUUAAAUGUGUCGUUGGUUCAGUUGCAGCCGCUUGAAACAUGGAAAAUAAUGUGAAUAAUCGAAAGAAAAGAGCCUCGGAGAAGUCUAAUGAGCAUCAGACUAAACGCUCUAAGCACAUCGAAAGUGAUGAUGCUGUGACAGAGUAUACAGCUGGAAAAGUGAAAAAGAUUCGGGUUCGUAACUUUAUGUGUCACGAAGCUUUGGAGAUAACAUUAAAUGAGAAUGUCAAUUUUAUUGUGGGGCGCAAUGGCAGUGGUAAAAGCGCUAUAUUGACAGCAUUAACUGUAGGACUUGGUGCAAAGGCUAAUGUGACGAGCAGAGGAACCUCUAUUAGAGAGUUUAUAAAGAAGGGUACAAAUAACGCUAUCAUUGAGAUAACAUUAAGUAACAAAGGAGAUACUGCAUACAAGUCUGAGAUUUAUGGUGAUGUGAUUACCGUUAUACGUAUAAUUGGAACUACUUACGCAUACAAGAUUAAAAAUUGGAGAGGAGAUAUCAUCUCUACAAAACGUGAAGAAUUAGACAAUAUUAUAACAACGAUGAACAUACAAAUUGAUAAUCCAAUAUCUGUUUUGAAUCAGGAUAUUUCGAGAACAUUUCUAGUUAGUUCUAAGCCUAGUGAAAAGUACAAUCUGUUCAUGAAAGCCACUCUCUUAAAUACUAUAGAAAAAAAUUAUAAUGAAGCUCGAGAGAUAUGCGAAGAAGAAUAUAAAAAAUUAAAACAAUAUUCUGAGGCAUUGUCACAAGUAAGGAAAGAAAUCCAAAAAUUGAAGGAAAAUAUCCAUAGAGUGGAAGAAAUAGAUGCAUCACGUGCGGAGUUAAAUGAUCUUGAAAUGGAACUUCAGUGGGCUAAGGCUAUUGUGGAAGAAAGUAAGCUUUGUAAGAUUCAGGAAACAUUAAAGAUGUAUGAAGAUCAAUUGCAAGAUCUUCAAAAUAUGGAGGCAUCUGUGGGAACUAAAGAUGAAGAAAUUGAUGAAAAAAUCAAAGAAGUGAAACAAAAAAUUCAGCAAGCAGAACAGGAAGCAAUAGAUAGCAGCGAAGCAUUUAAAAGCGCAAAGGAGAAAUAUUUGGCUGCAAAUGAGACAUAUCACAACAAGCAGCGUGAGUGGCGUUCAGCAGCGAAUAAAAGAAAGCGAUUAGAAGAUGAUAUUAAUUUGCUAAAGAAAGAAAUUCAAAAGUUAGAAGGCUGCAAUCUUGAAGAACAUAAUAAAAGAAGAGAAGAAACAGAACGUCUAUCACAGUUAGAAGAACGACUGGACGAACUCGGAGCUUCCUUGCGCACAAAGCAAACCGAAUUGAUGCAUUUAGAAGCUGAUAAGAUGCGACUUUCGCAAGAAGUACAAUCCGCCAAAAUUGAAAUAGAUAAUUCAAAUUGGCGCGUAGAAAAGAUAAAAAAGGAAUUAAUUGCGUUCGAGCAACAAUCUGAUAACGCACUAAGUGUGUUUGGACCAAAUAUACCGCGUCUACUGAGGAGAAUUGAAGAGGAAUAUAAAAAAGGGCGAUUCAAGGAAAAGCCACGUGGUCCUAUUGGUGCUUAUAUAAAAAUGAAGGAUGCAGCGUGGGCGCCAGCAGUGGAAAGUUACCUAGGUUCUCGCCUUCUUGGUUCGUUUUGUGUGGAUAACAAUCAAGAUGCCAAAUUCUUGAACGGCAUCAUGAAGGAAAUUUACUACAACGAAAACUUCCCCCAAAUUAUAUCUAGCAAGUUCUUUCAUAAGAUGCACGAUGUUAGACGUCACUGCACUCAAUCGCCACACCAUUCUAAUCUGCUAGAGGCUAUGGUUAUAGAAGAUCCCAUCGUGGCUAAUGCCUUGAUCGAUCAACGUGAGAUUGAAUGUAUUCUCCUUAUACCAAAGAGUACAGAGGCAUGCGAGAUAAUGUCAGACAGAACGAAAGUACCAAAGAAUUGCAAGAGAGCGUUUACUCAGCGAGGUGACGUAUUCUAUCCUGAUCCAAAUUAUAGGACUUACGGCGGAAGGUGUAAUGGACGCGCUAAAUUCCUUCAAGUUUCUACCAUGGAAGCGAUGCAAACACUAAAAGAAGACCUUCAGGUAGCGGAAAAUAAAAAGCAGGAUGCCAUUAUAGCACACAAAACUGUAUGUGAUAAAAUAAAACGUACUAAUUCUGAAUUAAAUCACGUUAGCACGACAGUUGGCAAGCUAAAAUCCGCGCAAAGUGAAUGCACUAAUUUGAUUAAUGAAUUAAAAUAUAAAAUGGAUUCGAGCAAUGCUACAUCGGCUGAUGUUUUUCGGAAUGAAGCUGCAGAAUUAGAAAAGAAGUUGGCGCAGGAAAACGCCGCAGAGAAGCUUCUUGCUGAGAACGUAAAGGAAUUUCAGAAAAACGUAGAAUCUCUCAACACCGAGGUCAAACGUUGCAGAGACUUAAGGCACAAUUUAAACACAAUAAUUGAUCCCCUCAAGGAUCAAAUAAGAGAGUUUACACUGCAGAAAGAAAGACAUCGACAGAAGUGUAUGCGCGCCACUCGGAAGUUACAGGAAGUUCGCCAAGCUGUGCAAUGUGCAACAGGAGAGUUCGAAAUACAAGAGAGAGCCACGAAGAAAGCGGUGUCCAAUGCCACUUCAAAAUAUCCUAACAGGAUAGACACGACCAGAUCGAUAAACGAAAUCAAAACUUUGUUAAGCGAUUUACGGGAAAAGAUUUCCGAAGUGGAGCAUCAGUAUGGCACUAUGGAUGAUUUGCGGAAACAAUUGAGAGAAAAAGAGGAGAAGUAUGGAGUGAACAUUGAAUUUACGUCCAAGUUAAGAGAAAGUUGUGAAAAACACAUUAAACGAGUAAAAGAGCGACAGAAGUUAUUUAUUGAAUUGAGGGAUCUAUACAGUGUUUACGUGCAAAAGUCUUUCACUGAUAUGCUUUCUCUAAGACAAUACCAGGGCACUGUGGUGAUCGAUCACGUUAACAAAGUGCUUGACUUAAGCGUUAGUGCGCGGGACAACAAGAUCGACAACAACAGCAACAACACCAGGUCGCUCUCGGGAGGCGAGCGAUCUUACUCAACAGUCGCCUUUAUCUUGGCCCUCUGGGAUUGCAUUCAACUACCUUUUUAUUUUCUUGACGAGUUUGAUGUGUUUAUGGACAAAGUAAAUCGACGGGUGAUAAUGGAUAUUCUUUUGGAACACACCAGAACGCAUAAGCAGAGUCAAUUCGCUUUUCUCACACCUUUAGAUACGUCGGAUAUUCUUGCCGAGGAUUAUAUAACAAUUCAUCAAUUAGAACCACCAGAGAGGAGAGGUCUGAGUCAGUAAAUACCUGAAUGCUGCUUUUUUUUUCCAGUGAUAGGAUUUCUUUUUUGUUGUUCGCAUUCAGUUGAAAAAUAAGUUUUAAAUAUUUAUUAUCACACAUUCAUAUAAGAAGAUACGUAUGCAGAAUGAUAAUCAAAUUUAUUUUUGUGAGUCCAUUUUAUGUAAGAAUAGCGGCAAAUCUUACGUUUGCAUACAUGUGAUAAAUACUUUAAAGGUGGAGUGAUCUUCAACAAAGUUUUUAUUUGAAAAGUGAUACACAUGUCAAAGAAUAAGAUUUUUGUUAUCAAAACAUUAAAAGUGCCUUCGAUAUUGCAUAUGAAAUUUUUUUUAUAAUAAAAGUCAGUUAAU
rnacentral:misc_RNA from 1 species